rnacentral:lncRNA from 1 species
GAAACUUGCUUCUUGGAACAGAAAAAUGUGUACUUGAAUCAUGCCAAUAUUUUUUAUCAGAUUUGUCGUGACAAUUUUUACUGAUCACAAGUAAAAAUUGUUCCAACAUCAUAGCAUGAAAAAUAUUUAAACACACAACGUACAACGAGGACAGAUCGAUGCAUACAAAAGUUAAAUAGUUUUUGGGACACAACACGUAGGUACAUCUAAUGCGCACAGUCAAAGGCGGAUUGCUUGUCCUACUCAUUGAAUAGCCACGCAAUCCACUCAAAUUUCUCAUCUGCGUCUUUCAUGACGGCGAGUAUGUCCCGACAGCACUUUUGAGCUAGAACUACACAGGCGAAAAGUAGAACGGUGUCCGCUGUAGAAGUCAUCCUAUCGCCAAAAACUCUUCUACAUAGGCAACGCCACUUCCUCCACGGCACUGGUGGCCCGAUCGACAGAAAACGAUAGCUCUCCAGCACAUAUUUUUUUCUUCUUCCCCUGUCGCUUGGCACUAGAGGACUUCCUUUUAGCGUCCCUUGUGGUGCUGGAAACGUUCAUACCGGAUCCACUGGGCAUUUCCUCUGCCCCAUCACUUGAACCACUACUCUCAUCGUCGAUCAAAAUUGCGUCACGGUGGUCUUCCAGCGUUCUAUCCUCGAACAGCCCGAACCUCAUUCUACACAACUUCAUCGAAGUGAUUGCAUAAUUUUCACCAUCGUAAUCGUCCCCAAAUAGUUGACGGAGCGAAUGUAGAUCUUACUUACGUCAUUGUCCUUGAAGUCCUUGUAGUCUUUAUACUCUUGCGAACAAGGGUUAAAAAUGAAGACAACAGUUCAACGAAAAAUCAGAAUGUGCCGAAAAAGAAUUUACUGAAAAUGUCAAACAAUAUUACGCAUGGGUACAAGAAAAGACUACAGUGUUAGCUAUUUCCAGAAUGUAGUUUCGUAGAUGUCGACUUGCAUUAAUCAAAACCAUUAAAGGGAAACAAAAAUUAACAGCAUUAUCUUAAUCUUUUGAUUCCACCACUCCUCCGGUGCAACGACUCGACUGGUGGAUGCGUUGUACUCAUCCCUGCAAAAAAUUAACAACUUGGAGAGACAUAUGUGAGUUCGAUGCAUGGCGUCCCAGUGGUUCUAUUCAUAUUAACCUCAAUCUCACAAUCACUAGUAAAUUGCCAGAAUUCAAGUUUAGCAACUCAAUUCAAGUGUUUGAUGUCAGAUGCAAUGCAAUCGGAAGACAAUAAUAACUCAUAGCUAAUCAAUAAUAUCUUGUAACACAGAGGCAUAUUUCUAUUGAUCAACAUUUCUUUGCAUUCACAUAAUUUUGAAGCUUCAUUUUACUUUGAUAAUAUUUUUAGUACUUCAUGAAAAAUCCAUAUAUCUUGUCCUCAUAAUACUGGUAUGAACGCUUCUGUUUCACUUAAAAUUUUAUAGCACCUUGCAUACUUGAAAACCAAAAUACAAUCAAAUGGACACUGAAAAUAGCAUAAUAAUUCGGUAGGGGUUGCCAUCUGGUCUACAAGAAAAGAAUAGUCUAUUGAAAGGUAGAAAAAUGACGGCGAGUACGGGACAAUUGUUGGGAGCAAACCUAUGUCUCAGUGGGAUCCAUAUGGCCGGUAGAGAUCCGAACUGAGAGGCGGCUUUGUAAGUCAAUGUAUGAUUGCAGUUUGUUGGAGACGUCGUCAUAUCUUCUUGAAAAAAAAGUGCGUUGCAGACCUUAUGAGAAAUUGGUAGUGUCGUCGCCAAUUUGUGCAGCUGAAGGUUGUGGGAAGAAUCUUGGUUUGCGUAGCUGAAGGUUCUAAGAAGUGCUGUCACCAGUUUGCUCAUUG